GACGAACGCUGGCGGCGUGCUUAACACAUGCAAGUCGAACGGAAAGGCCCUGCUUUUGUGGGGUGCCCGAGUGGCGAACGGGUGAGUAACACGUGAGUAACCUGCCCUUCACUUUGGGAUAGCUUCAGGAAACUGGGGCUAAUACCGGAUACGAUCCCCCGCUGCAUUGUGGGGGGUGGAAAGUUUCGGCGGGUGGGGAUGGAUGCGCGGCUUACCAGCUUGCUAGUGGGGUAGUGGCUUACCCAGGCUUUGACCGGUAGCCGGCCUGUGAGGGUGACCGGCCACAUUGGGACUGAGGUACGGCCCAGACUGCUACGGGAGGCAGCAGUGGGGAAUAUUGCCCAGUGGGCGGAAGCCUGAUGCAGCAACGCCGCGUGCGGGAUGACGGCCUUCGGGGUGUAAACCGCUUUCGCCUGUGACGAAGCGUGAGUGACGGUAAUGGGUAAAGAAGCACCGGCUAACUACGUG
rnacentral:rRNA from 1 species